AAAGAUGAUGUCCAUAUUAAUAUAAGAAUAAAUAUAUGCAAUUGUUUCUAUCAAAUUGAUCUAGUAUUACUGUAUAUAUUAAUGUAAUAGUCAUUUUACAGCACAUUAAAUUACAAACAUUGCAAUGUCAUUAGAAAAUAAAAUUAUCCUGAAAUUAUUAUUGAAAAUAGUUUUGAAUGAAGAAAACUUCUUAUUAAAAGUUAUUUUCAGUGAAAUCUACAUUAAACAAUUAAUUUAUAUGGUGUCGGCAACACAUCAAUAUAGUAUCUUUUUAGUUUUGUGGAUAGAUUUCUUUAAGAAUUUCAUAUAUAUAUCAGUAGUAUACUGAAAUUUUAAAUAAGGUUAGUGUGGGUAAAUAAAAACAAAGAAAUAUGAAGAUACGUCUCAAUAAUUCAACAAAUAAUGUCUAAAAUUGGCAUAUUUCUAAUCUCCAUAAAUGAUGUAAGCACCUGGUUCCUACAGUGAUUGUGGCACCAUAAAAUGUUACACUUCACUUUAGGAAUGCACUUUUCUCUAAUAGAAAAACAUCAAAGAUUGAGUUUAUUUGUUUUGAAAAUCUAAAAUAAUUUUAAAUAAGACAUCUGCUUU
rnacentral:lncRNA from 1 species